rnacentral:rRNA from 1 species
UCGAGAAUUUUUGGCAAUGGGCGCAAGCCUGACCAAGCGAUGCCGCGUGCGGGAUGAAGGCCUUCGGGUUGUAAACCGCUGUCAGUGGGGAGAAAAGGUAGGUGGGUACUCUCAUCUAUUUGAUCUAUCCGCAGAGGAAGUGUGGGCUAAGUUCGUGCCAGCAGCCGCGGUAAGACGAACCACACAAACGUUAUUCGGAAUUACUGGGCUUAAAGGGUGCGUAGGCUGCGCGGAAAGUUGGGUGUGAAAUCCCUCGGCUCAACCGAGGAACUGCGCCCAAAACUACCGUGCUCGAGGAAGAUAGAGGUGAGCGGAACUUACGGUGGAGCGGUGAAAUGCGUUGAUAUCGUAAGGAACACCUGUGGCGAAAGCGGCUCACUGGGUCUUUUCUGACGCUGAUGCACGAAAGCUAGGGGAGCAAACGGGAUUAGAUACCCCCGUAGUCC